CUUCUCCCUCCCAUUCGCGCGAGUUUGCCCCGAAAGGAGAUGAAGCAGACGCGCCCCAUUCGCUUCCCAUCGUAGUGAACUCGGUUCGCCUCGCCUCGCCCACCGCCGAGGCAGCGACCAGCGAGGCGUGCUCCUCCUCCGGCGCUAAGACGGGGCCGGCCGCUCGUGGGGCCUCGCCUCAGGGGCCCCGUGGGAGGCGGCGGGCCCCGAAACGCCGUCGUGGUGUAUCAGGCAUCAUAGGGCUCGCGGCGGCGAUUGUUGGCCGCGAGUUGGUCGUGUGGAUGAGGCUCCAGGCGGGCCCCAGUUUUGGCAAAUGGCACCAGUUCCUGCAACAACGAGGUCAUCUACGCUGGCAUCUACUACCCUCCCCGAAGUCUCAAGGAGAAAGGGCAUUCUAGCGAAGAGAGGGCUACAUAGCUCAUAAGAAUUAUUAUUAGCCUUGUGGCUAUGUGCCAUUCACUUGGGGUUAUGCACCGUGAUCUGAAGCCAGAAAACUUCCUCCACUUGGAUAAAGAAGAUGAUUUGUCAAUAGAAGCAAUCGAUUUUGGUCUAUCCGUGUUCUUCAAACCAGGUCAGGUUUUCACUAAGCUGGUUGGAAGUCCAUAGACCCUGUAGUACAGAACAGUCAUCGGAACAUGAUCACGCGUUAGAAUUAUUGGAGUGGAGCAGCUCACUCGACAAAAAUGUGUCACCAACCGAUGAUUUAUUGCAUUGUCAACUGCACUUAAUGUUCUUAGUUGUUGGGGUCUUCUUCUCCACUGAAGGUCCUUAAGUCAUAAACACCUUCGAUAAAAUGCCACAAGAGGUCCGCCUCACUUCCGCCGAAGGUUCUCAAGACGAAGAUCUCGGAAAGAAGCAGAAAUGCAGAACGACGAAGCUAGCUUCAGCUCAAAUCAAGCAAAGAAGGAAAAGACUAGAUAGACCUUGCUGGUUUAAAUUGCUUAUAGACAAAUGUUCAAGGGCAUGUAUGUAAUUUUACCUGGGCUGCGUCCCGUACCUAGAAAUAGAUGAACAGUAUCACCGUACUGUUUAAGCUGGAUUAUAAUUACUCUCUCGCAUUCACGCCUUUGAGC